rnacentral:rRNA from 3 species
GCCUAACCGUAAACCCUUAAUUACAUCCCCAUCGCCAGGGAACUACGAGCAAAGCUUAAAACCCAAGGGACUUGACGGUACCCCAUAUCCACCUAGAGGAGCCUGUCCUAUAAUCGAUAACCCACGUUUUACCUCACCAUUUUUAGCCUAUCAGCCUGUAUACCUCCGUCGUCAGCUUACCUCGUGAGCGUUAAUUAGUGAGCUCAAUGCCCAUACACCAAUACGUCAGGUCAAGGUGCAGCACAUGAAAUGGAAAGAGAUGGGCUACACUAUCUAAAUUAGAUAACACGAAAGACUAUCUAUGAAAUCUAGUCAGAAGGCGGAUUUAGAAGUAAGAAGGGACCAAACUGCCCCCCUUAACUCGGCACUGGGGUGUGUACACACCGCCCGUCACCCUCUUCAAAGCUCCACCUUACAGUUAGUAACAAAACCAAGCAUUUUAGAAGAGGCAAGUCGUAACAUGGUAAGUAUACCGGAAGGUGUGCUUGGCAA